AAUGAACGCUGGCGGCGCGCCUAAUACAUGCAAGUCGAGCGAGAAGACGUAGCAAUACGUUUGUAAAGCGGCGAACGGGUGAGGAAUACAUGGGUAACCUACCCUCGAGUGGGGAAUAACUAGCCGAAAGGUUAGCUAAUACCGCGUAUGCUCCUUGGACUUCGGUUCAGGGAGGAAAGCGAUACCGUGGGUAUCGCGCUCUUGGUUGGGCUCAUGUCCUAUCAGCUUGUUGGGAGGUAACGGCUCACCAAGGCUUCGACGGGUAGCUGGUCUGAGAGGACGAUCAGCCACACUGGCACUGCGACACGGGCCAGACUCCUACGGGAGGCAGCAGUAAGGAAUAUUGCGCAAUGGGCGAAAGCCUGACGCAGCGACGCCGCGUGGGGGAUGAAGGUCUU
rnacentral:rRNA from 1 species